rnacentral:rRNA from 1 species
UACGAAGGGGGCUAGCGUUGCUCGGAAUGACUGGGCGUAAAGGGCGCGUAGGCGGCGCGGUAUGUCACCUGUGAAAUCUCCUGGCUCAACUGGGAGCUUGCAGGCGAAACUGCCGUGCUGGAGUGUGGGAGAGGAGAGUGGAAUUCCCGGUGUAGCGGUGAAAUGCGCAGAUAUCGGGAAGAACACCCGUGGCGAAGGCGGCUCUCUGGGACGGUACUGACGCUGAGACGCGAAAGCGUGGGGAGCGAACAGG